rnacentral:lncRNA from 1 species
GAGAGAGAGGAGGUGGAGCCGAGAGUUGCCGCCGCCCGUCCGCCGUACAUCCGCCUAGUCCGACCGCCGUACGCCGUCGUCCAUCGCUGUUUGUUCAUCUUGGAGGCAAGUGGAGUCCUUAACUUCUCUUGCAUGUCUGUUUUUUUGGUUGCAUGUUCGGUUUUAGGUGUAAUUUGGGCGAAAAACCGAGGUAAGGGUUGGAUGUGUUCAAGCUAUGUGACUGUUUUCGUUUGGUUUGUGGUAGUCAGUAUCUUAGUCGAGCUUGCAUGUGUACUUGGAGUGCGAUUUUGGCUUCGGUGUCUUCAUGAAAGUUGAAGCUAACAUCUUGUAGUAUGACAUAAUCGAAUUUCAUGGAAAACGAUGGUGAUAUGUGGGGUCAAAAGCUUUGUUAUACGGAGACCUCAGCUCUGCGAAAUCUUCACUGACCUUUUGUUGAUUUCUUGGUUGCAUGUUGAUUUCUGUUGGAGAUCUCGCCUUGUUGUCUUCUUGAAAGUUGUAGGAAACAACUUAAGCUACAACAUAAUCAAAUUUGAAGCAAAAAUAACAAGUAUAACUUGGUGAAUCUGUUAGAUCUUGGAGAUGGUUGAUUCUGGUGAGGUGUACCGAGACACCCGAGACUUCAUGGGUUAAACUGGUGAUCAUAAUCUGGUUAUUUGACCUAGAUCCCUUCAUGAAAAUUGUAAAGGACAUAUUUUUACAUAACAUACUUAAAUUUCAGAAGAAACGAAAGAGAUUUGAUGGGUGAAAUCUAAGAAAUACGGAGGAGUGUGUUCUGGACGUCGCGGUAGAGAUUCCAGAAGCUUCGUAGGGCUAUAGAAAUUAAUAUAAAAAGAAUUUGGCUUAAAGUUCUUAAUGAAAAAGGUACGAAAAUGUGUUGGAUAUCACCCUGUAAUGUUUCGUAAUUUUUGAAGACCGAAUGGGUAUUUUAAUUUAAUUUAUUCGGAAACUGUGCAGUGGGUUUAAAUCCGAGAAUUUUAGGAUGUUUUUGGAGGAAAUUGUGAAAUUGUGAAAAAUACGACUUGGCCACGAAUUUUAUAUAAAAUUGUAAUCCUAUAAAUGAUUAUUGAAUAUUAUGAUUUUGGGAAAAUCAUAAAUAUUAACUAUUUAUUUAUGAAAAUAAAUAAAUAUAAUAAAAUAAUAAAAUAAUAAUAAAAUAAUGAAAUAAUAAAAUAAAAUAGAUUUUUAUUUGGCCAUGGAUUCAAUUCCAUUUGUGUGGCACUUGUGUGAUGAGGUCUUUGUACAUGCAUUAAGUUGAAAUACUUAUGUGAUUAAGCUAUGACAUGUGCAUGACAUGUGAAUUGAAAUGCAAGUGUGAUAUGUUUGAUGCCAUGCCAAAUUUCCAUGUUAAAUUGAGAUAAAAGAUAAAUGUGGAUGAGAAUGAGGUUGUGGUGGAGGAUGUUGUCUGGUGGCCUGGUGGCGUAAUUCCAGAGAUUCCCUGGGAGUUUCAGGAUGCCCGGAAUGUGGGGGGCUGGAAGCCCUGUCGGAGGUUUCUGCCCAAAGGGAGUGACUCGCGAUGCCAGGAUUGGGGUGCGAGAUCCCCGGCUAGAAGGGUAAAGGCCGGAAGCCCUGUCGGAGGUUUCUGCCCGAAGGGAAUGCCUCGUGAUGCUAGUUGAGAUGCGAGAUGCCCGGAAUGUGGGGGGCCGGAAGCCCAGUGGCCAUGAGAUGGCUGGAAUGCUGGGAUCCCUGUCGGAGGUUUCUGCCCGAAGGGAUGGUGAUGAUGGUGAAUUUGAUGAUUUGAGAAAAGAUAAUGUGGGGAUCAAUUGAUAAGUAAAAGUGGAAAUUGAUCUAUGAUGUGAUAUGCAUGGUGAUGCAUGGCUAAUGAUGAUAUGAUAUGCAUGGUGAUGCAUGGCUAAUGAUGAUAUGAUAUGCAUGGUGAUGCAUGGCUAAUGAUGAUAUGAUGUGAUAUGCAUGGUGAUGCAUGGCUAAUGAUGAUAUGAUGUGAUAUGCAUGGUGAUGCAUGGCUAAUGAUGAUAUGAUGUGAUAUGCAUGGUGAUGCAUGGCUAAUGAUGAUAUGAUAUGCAUGGUGAUGCAUGGCUAAUGAUGAUGUGAUAUGCACGGUGAUGCAUGGCUAAUGAUGAUGUGAUAUGCAUGGUGAUGCAUGGUUAAUGAUGAUGUGAUAUGCAUGAUGAUACAUGGCCAUGAUGAUGAUAUAUAUGCUAUAAUGAUGCAUGAAUACGCUUGACAUCAAAAAGGUAAGCAAUGCCUGCAUUGUAUGAUGGUAUGCAUGGUGCACUGAGUUGUUAUUGGAUUUCCUUAUCUGCUGAGUGGUUGUACUCACCCCUUUUGGGGAUAACAUUUCAGAUUAGCACUAUGCCGCUACCUGCUGUUUCGCGUGGGGUAUUUUACGGUCUACCGUCUGAUGUUGAGGUGGAGUGUACGGAGAUAGAUUGUCCCUCUGUGCUCGGAUUGACGUUUAUCCGAGUGCGAUGCUUAGUUAUGUAUGAUAUCGGCCUGGCUGGG